GACGAACGCUGGCGGCGUGCUUAACACAUGCAAGUCGAACGGUGAAGCGCCUUCCUUUUUGGUGGGUGUGGAUGAGUGGCGAACGGGUGAGUAACACGUGAGUAACCUGCCCCCUUCUUCUGGAUAACCGCAUGAAAGUGUGGCUAAUACGGGAUAUUCUGGGUCUGUCGCAUGAUGGGUCUGGGAAAGAUAUUGUUUCGGUGGGGGAUGGGCUCGCGGCCUAUCAGCUUGUUGGUGGGGUGAUGGCCUACCAAGGCGGUGACGGGUAGCCGGCCUGAGAGGGUGGACGGUCACACUGGGACUGAGACACGGCCCAGACUCCUACGGGAGGCAGCAGUGGGGAAUAUUGCACAAUGGGCGCAAGCCUGAUGCAGCGACGCCGCGUGAGGGAUGGAGGCCUUCGGGUUGUGAACCUCUUUCGCCAGUGAAGCAGGCCUGCCUCGUUUGUGGGUGGGUGGACGGUAGCUGGAUAAGAAGCGCCGGCUAACUACGU
rnacentral:rRNA from 1 species